rfam:Salmo salar isolate Sally breed double haploid chromosome ssa02, whole genome shotgun sequence.
AACACGCUCCUUAGAUCCACCUCUGGAGGGUUCUCCUGUGCUGGUGCUGUCGUCGCUCUCUGAGUGCUGCAACUCCAGCCUGGAGGCCCUCAGCAGCUUUCUGGCUGUACAGUUGGAGGUGCUUGAGUCAUUGGUGUGUGUGAGAGCAGUCUACCUGCCUCGCCCAGCCCCACUGUUGCUCUGGCAACCCUCAGUCCUACUAGGGGGAUUCUACCAGCGCAGCUAGGCUGUGGGGCGGACAAC